rnacentral:rRNA from 1 species
CCUACGGGAGGCAGCAGUGAGGAAUAUUGGUCAAUGGGCGAGAGCCUGAACCAGCCAAGUCGCGUGAGGGAGUACUGCCCUAUGGGUUGUCAACCUCUUUUGUCGGGGAGCAAAAGCCGGACGUGUCCGGCUUUGAGAGUACCCGAAGAAAAAGCAUCGUCUAACUCCGUGCCAGCAGCCGCGGUAAUACGGAGGAAGCGAGCGUUAUCCGGUUUUAUUGGGUUUAAAGGGUGCGCAGGCGGAUUUUGAAGUCAGCGGUAAAAUCUUGGGGCUCAACCCCAUCCAGCCGUUGAAACUGGGGAUCUAGAGUGUGCGAGAGGUAUGCGGAAUGCGUGGUGUAGCGGUGAAAUGCAUAGAUAUCACGCAGAACCCCGAUUGCGAAGGCAGCAUACCGGUGCACAACUGACGCUCAGGCACGAAAGCGUGGGUAUCGAACAGGAUUAGAUACCCCGGUAGUC